rnacentral:lncRNA from 1 species
GGUAUCUUUGAAGGCCUGUUUUGAGUAGCAGCCCUCAGGUUGGUCUCAUCUAACUCUCUAUGCAGCUCUGUGGGACAGAUGGAAGGCAGAAGCCUCACCAGUGCAUGUCCACAUCUGCAGCUGAUGGCCCUAGGAAGAUGGAGCCUCACCCCCACUGUUUGAAGAAUACCUUUCCCAUGGAGAGAUGAAAACCGAGCAUCCAGAUGCCCAGUGAAUAUUUUGUGUGACUGACAUCAGGAACUGGCCUGAGCAUUGAGUUCAUGCCCUGUACACUGCAUUGAGGAGCUGUUCAGUAAGUAUUGACCAUGGGUGAGGUGUGUGUAGGGAGGUUUGGAGGGCAUGGAGACCCCUUCCAAAGGCAGAAAGCAGCUGGCU